GCCGAAGUGGUGGAAUUGGUAGACACGCUAGGUUCAGGGUCUAGUGGCUGUAGGGUCGUGCGAGUUCGAGUCUCGCCUUCGGCACCA
rnacentral:tRNA from 2 species